rnacentral:rRNA from 1 species
UGGAAGCAUAGUGAUAUGUGAAGCUGACCAAUACUAAUUGCUCGUGAGGCUUGACUAUACAACACCCAAGCAGUUG